rnacentral:rRNA from 1 species
ACGGAAAUACCCCCGGGAAACUGGGGCUAAUGUCCGAUAGGCGAAGAACUCUGGAAUGAGUCUUCACUUAAACGGCGCUAGAGUUAUGCUCUUUGGCGAUGCUUAAGGAUGGGGCCGCGACCGAUCAGGUUGUUGGUGAGGUAACGGCUCACCAAGCCUUUUACCGGUGCGGGCCGUGGGAGCGGGAGCCCGGAGAUGGGCACUGAGACAAGGGCCCAGGCCCUACGGGGCGCAGCAGUCGCGAAAACUUUGCAAUAAGCGAAAGCUUGACAGGGCUAUCCCGAGUGCCAUCCGCUGAGGAAGGCUUUUACCCAGUCUAGAACGCUGGGGGAAUAAGGAGAGGGCAAGUCUGGUGUCAGCCGCCGCGGUAAUACCAGCUCUCCGAGUGGUGUGGAUGUUUAUUGGGCCUAAAGCAUCCGUAGCUGGCUAGGUUAGUCCCCUGUUAAAUCCACCGAAUUAAUCGUUGGAUUGCGGGGGAUACUGCUUGGCUAGGGAACGAGAGAGGCAGACGGUAUUUCCGGGGUAGGGGUGAAAUCCUAUAAUCCCGGGAAGACCACCAGUGGCGAAGGCUGUCUGCUAGAACGCGUCCGACGGUGAGGGAUGAAAGCUGGGGGAGCGAACCGGAUUA